rnacentral:rRNA from 1 species
UGGGGAAUUUUGGACAAUGGGGGAAACCCUGAUCCAGCCACCCCGCGUGUGCGAUGAAGGCCUUCGGGUUGUACAGUCCUUUUGGCAGGAAAGAAACGCCAUGGGCCAAUACCCCGCUACACUGACGGUACCUGCAGAAUAAGCACCGGCUAAUUACGUGCCAGCAGCUGCGGUAAUACGUAGGGAGCAAGCGUUGAUCGGAAUGACUGGGCGUAAAGCGCUCGCAGGCGGUUCGGAAAGAAAGAUGUGAAAUCCCAGAGCUCAACUUUGGAACUGCAUUUAUAACUACCGAGCUAGAGUGUGUCAGAGGAAGGUGGAAUUCCGCGUGUAGCAGUGAAAUGCGUAGAUAUGCGGAGGAACACCGAUGGCGAAGGCAGCCUCCUGGGAUAACACUGACGCUCAUGCGCGAAAGCGUGGGGAGCAAACAGG